GACGUAGGGGCCGAGCGUUGUCCGGAUUUAUUGGGUUUAAAGGGUGCGUAGGCGGCCCGUUAAGUCAGCGGUGAAAUCCCAGGGCUCAACCCUGGAACUGCCGUUGAUACUGACGGGCUUGAGUUCGGUCGAGGCGGGCGGAACUGGUGGUGUAGCGGUGAAAUGCAUAGAUACCACCAAGAACCCCGAUUGCGUAGGCGGCUCGCUAGGCUUUAACUGACGCUGAGGCACGAAAGCGUGGGGAGCGAACAGG
rnacentral:misc_RNA from 1 species